rnacentral:rRNA from 1 species
GACGGAGGGUGCAAGCGUUGUUCGGAUUGACUGGGCGUAAAGGGCGUGUAGGCGGUUGGCCAAGUCUGAUGUGAAAGCCCGAGGCUCAGCCUCGGAAGUGCGUCGGAAACUAGUCGGCUGGAGCGCGAUAGAGGAGGGUGGAAUUCCUGGUGUAGCGGUGAAAUGCGUAGAUAUCAGGAGGAACACCGGCGGCGAAGGCGGCCCUCUGGAUCGUUGCUGACGCUGAGACGCGAAAGCGUGGGGAGUAAACAGG